AAGAAAAAACAAAAUAUAUCUUUUUUACCCCUCCAAAAUUUCAAAAGGAAGGCAUUCAAAUUAAACCUCACGAUCCACGUCCACGAUUCCACGAGAUGAGCAGUUGUGAGACUGAGAGUUCAUGUAUAUCGCCGGGUUGAAUUCCUCCACUGCAUCAAACACCACACCUCUUAUUCCACCGCUCGUUAUCGGCCCUGUCGCAUCUAAAGCCGACGAGUAUUCCCACUGCCGCGCCUAAUGCCGAGGCUACUGCUGCCAUCAAUUGCCGCACCAAACUUCUACCAAUUAGGGCUCCACUGAUUGGUCCACUGCCACCACCUACACUGGUUCACUGCUGCCGCCUGCUCCACGCUACUGCUACCAUCAAUAUCAUGUUGAGUUAUUUAUCUUGUUUUACAUUCUUUUAAUCAUCUUAUCAAUUUUGCCCUAAUUUCGCACUCCACACUUUCAGCAAACCAGAGAGAAAGAGAGAAGACAAAGAACACUUAAACUCAAAAACCCCCAAAAUCAAAAACCCUAAAAUCUAACCUAAUUCAUAAUCAAUGGAGAACGACGAAGAAACAAGUUCACGUAAGAUGAUGAAUGAGAUCUAAUCACAGACCAAUCACAAGCGCCGAACAACUUGAUUGUGUGAGGACCCUUUCGCUUAGCCGUGACUCCUUCGCCUUCGGCAUCUCCAUGUUUCUACGCCAUCGUUGUUUGAGGACCCUUUCCCUUAGCCGUGUGUCAGGCUCACACAUGCGGGCCUCGAGAAUCUCGUACGCUCUUGGAGAUUACUGAUCUUGGGAUUGGUCUUCUUGCUACCAAGUUUUUGGGUUUGAAAUUCCUCGAUGUAUCUUCCCUCAAGGAUGAUGAUGAUGAUGAUGAUGAUGAUGAUGAGGAGGAGGAGGAGGAGGAGGAGGAGGAGGAGGAGGAGGAGGAGGUGGAGGAGGAGGAGGAAGAUGAAGAGGAGGAGGAGGAGGAGGAUGAGGAUGUGGAUAAAGAGUGGUGAAAUGCAAAUAAACAAAGAGUAGUAUGGCUAUGGUUAACUAUGGGAUGUUACUGUUGUUUAUCUAUGCUAUCUACUCUUAUUUUCUCUUGAUGAUGAAGACUAAUUUUUACUUUGGUAGUUUUCCUAAGUUUUGGGCUUGCAGGUUGUUGCACGACAUAGGAUGCUUUAUCUUGUUGAUAUUGUACUACAAUUUUUGAGAUGUUACUACAUUAUAUUUGCUUUUAUUUAUUAAUAUUUCUUGGAAA